rnacentral:tRNA from 1 species
GCGGAUGUGGCUCCAAUGGUAGCACGCUCACCUAGCAUGUGUGAGGCACUGGGUUCGAUUCUCAGCACCACG